rnacentral:lncRNA from 1 species
UCUAGAAGAUGAAGAUGAUCUCUUAGAAAAGAAAGAGUUAUUCUUGGGGCCACCCCUAGGGUGAACUUCUAGGUUCACCAAGCAAUAGGAUUUCAUUAUUUCAAAUUCGAUAUCUUUUAAAAAAGGAAACAAAAUAUUGUCAAGAUAUAUUAUAUUUUUAAAAUAAAAAGGUUAAAAAAAAUUAGAAAAAAAUAGUAGUUAGAGAAAAACGAAUUUAAAAAAUAAUAAUAUUUUUAUCGUCGUCAGCAAAACACUAAACCCUAAAUCCUAAUUCCUAAACCCUAAAUCAUAAACCCUAUAAACCCUUGGGAAAACUCUAAACCCUUGGAUAUACUCUAAAUCAAAAACACUAAAUCUUAAAACCCUAAAUCCUA